GAUGAACGCUGGCGGCGUGCCUAAUACAUGCAAGUCGAGCGAACAGACGAGGAGCUUGCUCCUCUGACGUUAGCGGCGGACGGGUGAGUAACACGUGGAUAACCUACCUAUAAGACUGGGAUAACUUCGGGAAACCGGAGCUAAUACCGGAUAAUAUAUUGAACCGCAUGGUUCAAUAGUGAAAGACGGUUUUGCUGUCACUUCUAGAUGGAUCUGCGCCGCAUUAGCUAGUUGGUAAGGUAACGGCUUACCAAGGCAACGAUGCGUAGCCGACCUGAGAGGGUGAUCGGCCACACUGGAACUGAGACACGGUCCAGACUCCUACGGGAGGCAGCAGUAGGGAAUCUUCCGCAAUGGGCGAAAGCCUGACGGAGCAACGCCGCGUGAGUGAUGAAGGUCUUCGGAUCGUAAAACUCUGUUAUUAGGGAAGAACAAAUGUGUAAGUAACUAUGCACGUCUUGACGGUACCUAAUCAGAAAGCCACGGCUAACUACGUG
rnacentral:rRNA from 1 species